rnacentral:tRNA from 1 species
GCGUGACUCAGUUGGUCAGAGCGAAGGACUCUUAAUCCCGUGGUCGUCGGUUCGAUUACGUCU